rnacentral:tmRNA from 1 species
GUGCUGGCUGGAGGUACAGCGUGCGUCUGCGCGGUGCCUACGGCGAGAUCCAAAUCAGAACGCUAAACAUGUAGAUCUGCUCAAGGAAGGCUGACGGACGCGGGUUCAAUUCCCGCCAGCUCCACCA